UACGUAGGGCGCAAGCGUUAUCCGGAAUUAUUGGGCGUAAAGAGCUCGUAGGCGGCUUGUCACGUCGGGUGUGAAAGACCGGGGCUUAACCCCGGUUCUGCAUUCGAUACGGGCUGGCUAGAGUGUGGUAGGGGAGAUCGGAAUUCCUGGUGUAGCGGUGAAAUGCGCAGAUAUCAGGAGGAACACCGGUGGCGAAGGCGGAUCUCUGGGCCAUUACUGACGCUGAGGAGCGAAAGCGUGGGGAGCGAACAGG
rnacentral:rRNA from 1 species